rnacentral:lncRNA from 1 species
GCACUGCUGACAACCUACACCGUUGUUUUAAAGGUUGAAUGUGUGUGAUGUACUGUUGGAGACUGUGUUUCAGACACAGUCUACCGCGUGAGAAGCUUGCAUUGUGGCCGGUGGGAGAAGAAAGUUACCGCCCAUUGUCCGGAGUUUUUUUUAUUUUUUUCAUGGGGCAGACUAACAUCGGCCACUGACCAUUAGCCCGCACUCUAUGCCCUGACGGCACCCUACAGCCGCUUGGAUUUGAUUUUGCUGUGGUUGUUCAUGAAAAUCAUUCGGAUGAAUCUGCAGAAGCUCAGCCCGUGGACUUUCGCGUAGGGGCUGAACAUUUUUCGUCACUUUAACAUAAGCACGAUUCUUAAGAAAUAUCCCAACGCACAUGAAUUGCGUUUUAUGAUCGAGUUUGUCUUCAAUUGUCAUCCCAAAGUGGCAAGAGCGGUCGUGAAAGUGAAAAUGGGCUGGGCCGUCUAGCUCUCUUUGUGGGGGCAUCAUCUUUUAUAUGACAGAGGAGAGAUUUCUGAAGGUGAUAGCGGUGAGAAGCAUCGCCCGUGGUCGCUCUCGCUGUCUGCAGCCUUAGCACCCCGAGCAAGUCGCGGCUUCCUAUGCAGGAUAGAGAUUGUAUCAAUGUGUUGGAUUACAAGAGCGGAUUCCGUGCCUCAUGAUUUAAGCCUGCUAUCUGGACUCUCUGAACUGAGCUAAUUUUCUCUCCGCGUAGGCUCAGACGCUAUCCUACGAACAUUACGAAACCUGCGCCGUGGGUUGCAACACUCUUGGAUAAAGGGAAUUAUUUUUGAUAACCGUAAGACACCGGGAACGUGUUGUAGCUUGGUAGCUGGAUUAGACUUGUCCUCCUAUCACGACUCCUGAGGCAGCAGAAGCGUAUUCGAGGGUCGGAUUUUCUCUGUUGUUUUGGAGACCAUAUUUUGGAGCAUACACCGUCGUUUGGAGAACAAUUAGUCUACAUAUUGCAUACGACCUGAGGUCCAAACAGGUGUGUCCCAAUUAAAUCUCCCUUCGGAGCCACUGGACGAGGCUCAGUUUUUGGAAGUUUCACUGCUGCCUGCCGAAGACGGAUAUACAACUUUCGUUAGACUAUCAAUCUGCG